rnacentral:rRNA from 1 species
AUUGAACGCUGUCGGCAGGCCUAACACAUGCAAGUCGGGCGAGUGGCGGACGGGUGAGUAAUGUAUGGGGAUCUGCCUGAUGGCGGGGGAUCACUACUGGAAACGGUAGCUAAUACCGCAUACCCUCAGAUGUACCCCUAUGGGAUUAGCUUGUAGGUGGGGUAACGGCUAACCUAGGCGACGAUCCCUAGCUGGUCUGCGGGGAUGAUCAGCCACACUGGGAAUGAGACACGGUCCAUACUCCUACGGGAGGCAGCAGGGGUGAAGAUUGCACAAGGGGCGCAAGCCUGAUGCAGCCAUGCCGUGUGUAUGAAGAAGGCCUUCGUGUUGUAAAGUACAUUCAGUGGGGAGGCGUGACCGACAGAAGAAGCACCGGCUAACUCCGUGCCAGCAGCCGCGGUAAUAC